AGCGAACGCUGGCGGCAGGCCUAACACAUGCAAGUCGAACGAACUCUUCGGAGUUAGUGGCGGACGGGUGAGUAACACGUGGGAACGUGCCUUUUGGUUCGGAAUAACUCAGGGAAACUUGUGCUAAUACCGAAUGUGCCCUUCGGGGGAAAGAUUUAUCGCCAUUAGAGCGGCCCGCGUCUGAUUAGCUAGUUGGUGAGGUAACGGCUCACCAAGGCGACGAUCAGUAGCUGGUCUGAGAGGAUGACCAGCCACACUGGGACUGAGACACGGCCCAGACUCCUACGGGAGGCAGCAGUGGAGAAUCUUGCGCAAUGGGAGAAAGCCUGACGCAGCCAUGCCGCGUGAAUGAUGAAGGUAUUAGGAUUGUAAAAUUCUUUCACCGGGGACGAUAAUGACGGUACCCGGAGAAGAAGCCCCGGCUAACUUCGUG
rnacentral:rRNA from 1 species